CCAAUAGCGUAUAUUAAAGUUGUUGCAGUUAAAAAGCUCGUAGUUGAAUUUCGAGACCGGCUUACUGGUCGUGCUUUUGUGCGUACUGGUAUAAUCGGUUUCUCCUUUCUGACGAACUUUAAUGCCAUUAAUUUGGUGUUUUAGGGAAUCAGGACUGUUACUUUGAAAAAAUUAGAGUGUUUAAAGCAGGCUUACGCUUG
rnacentral:rRNA from 1 species